AUGAAUAUGAAAGAAAGAAACUCUCGAACAUAUCCAUCCGAUAAGUUUUCUUCGUUAUUGAACGCCUGCUGUAGUGAGAAAAUACGAGAAAGAACGCUGUGAAAAUCAUGAAUCCUACUCUAAUUUUCCGUUUGUAGUUCAGUGGUAGUGAAGUGGUGGUUAGGAAGCCUUGAGUUAUUCGAUCACGGUAGGGAUUUGAGGUUAAUCGAAAAAUGGAUUUUGGUGUUCUGGUCUGGAACUUAAGGUGUCUUUGGAUUCGACAGGCGGGCAGCGGAGGUUAAGGUUUGAGUUGUGUGUGAGGUAGCUUUGAUGUAAGUGGUGUUGAUUCGGCUGAGGAAGAAAUUGACGUUUGGGUAGAUUAAGUGGUCUUAACUUAUGUCCGUGUGAGAUCGUUGAUGGUCUCAAUAGUACUGUGCAGUUUAUAUAUCUUUCUGAAGGUGUUUUCUUUUGAGUUUCUUGAUUAGAAUGGCAGACAAUACUGAAAAUCAGAAUUUGGAGGGUGGAUCUAGUCAGCAAAUUGGGAGUAGUAAUGUGGAGAUGUUAAUGAAGUCUAUGGCAGAUAUGAGGCAACACCAACUGUUACUGGGAGAAAGGCUUGGAAUUUUGCCUCCAAGACAUAACUCAGGGAGUUCAGGCCAGGUUUCAAACCAAGGGGAUAUGAUUAUGCCGACACGAAAUCAGAAUCAACUUGGACAGUUACUUCAUCAGUAUUUAAAACUCUCUCCAGAGAUAUUCAGUGGCAGCCCUCCAGAUCCCGAGAAGGCGGAAGAAUGGUUGCAAAAUGCAGAACAUAUUUUGGAACAUGUAUCCAAUGAUAGAGGUACUUGGGUUAAUUUGGUUACCUUCAAAUUUCUAGGGUCGUCGCGAGAUUGGUGGAAUGCGGUAAUGAAAGCGGAAGGUGGAACAAUGACUUGGAAUAGGUUUAAGGACUUAUUUAUGGACAAGUAUGUACCUGAUGCAGCAAGGGAUAGAAAAUUUUCUGAGUUCAUGUCGCUAACGAAGGGUGGUAUGUCCGUCAGCGCUUAUAAUGAUAAAUUUAUAAGGUUUUCACGAUAUGGAGCGGAUUUUAUAACCACUGGUGAGGCUAAAGCGAAGAGGUUUAUCAGAGGAUUGGAUCCCGAGAUGCGAAAGCACCUCUCAUGUUUACGAAUCAAGACUUAUGAGGAUUCUUUGAAUCGGUCUCUUGAUUAUGAAAAAUAAAUGGAAUAUCAAUUUGCAACACGAAUUAGAGAGGCCGCAACCAUUUUCAGCAAGACUAGAUUCAGCAAAAAGGCCAAUGUUAUCAGCUCCUAAUCAGAAAUUUUUCAGACCACCAGUAGGACCAUGGUCAUCAGGAUUAGCGUCAGUACCACCGACAACACGUCCACCUGCAGUUAGACCUCAAGGGAGAUGGGUACGAUUCCAGUAAGUACGCCCGACUGCACCAGCAAGUUCUAAUUUGAAUUCUUACAAAUGUUUUACCUGCGGUAAAGGGGGGGCAUCUCAAGAAAGAUUGUCCGAGGAACCUCUCAACAGGGUUAACUCAACAAGGAGCGGUAUAUGCAAUGGAGCCGAUUGUAACUUCUAAUCAAGAAAAACCAGAAGAGAGGCAAGUGCUCUAUACAAUGGUAGAAGGGGAUGGUUCGGCGACCGAUCAAGUGGUUGAAGGUAAAAUAUUAUUAUUCAAUCAUCUAGCUCAUGUGUUGAUUGACACUGGUUCUACGCAAGCCUUUAUUAAUCUAAACAUAGCAACUGAACUGGAGUUAGACAUGGCAUGUAACAACAAAACGUUAGCGUCAGCUACAACAUUAGGGAGAAAAACCUUUCCUUUUCGAAUUUGCAAGAAUUUUGUAAUGAUGGUUAAUGAUCAAGAAUUAACUGCAGAUUUGGAAGUGCUAGAAAUGUGUGGUUUUGAUGUCUUAUUAGGUACGUUAGUAUUCUUUUCGAGGACGAAAACUUAUGUUAGGUAGGGUGAUUGUAGAAGCCCAGUUGUCGUAUUUUGAUUAUUGACUAGUCAAAGUGUGUUUUAAGACAUUUUUAGUCCUUAAUGUUUUACUUUUUACGAUUAGCCAAUCAUAGGGGUAGAUAAUUUUCGUUUUACUGUAGAGAUGUGAUUCUGGAAAUACUUGGAUUAUGGAAAUUGUGUGCUGCUGUUAUGACUAACAUGUCAGGGUCUAGUAAUUUGGAUUUUUCCAAGUAGGGCCUAGUGCUGAGUAUUGUUGUUUCUUAGUGGGUUUCUCCUCUAAUCAGGUUAGUUUAGAAAAAAAUGGUUUAGACGUGGUGAACUUCCAUCUUGACGCAUAGGGUCACAGUAUGCUAGGAUAUUUUUUUUAAAGAUUAGCUGAGUGAGCAAAUAUUAACGACACGUGGUGAACUCCUACUUUGACACGGUGGGUCACUUUUCAUUGGGGUUUGUUUGGAGAACAAAAGAAUGAAGAUAAGAAAGAAAGAAACUCUCGAACAUAUCCAUCUGAUAAGUUUUCUUCGUUAUUCAACGCCUGCUGUAGUGAGAAAAUACGAGAAAGAACGCUGUGAAAAUCAUGAAUCCUACUCUAAUUUUCCGUUUGUAGUUCAGUGGUAGUGAAGUGGUGGUUAGGAAGCCUUGAGUUAGUCGAUCACGCUAGGGAUUUGAGGUUAAUCGAAAAAUGGAUUUUGGUGUUCUGGUCUGGAACUUAAGGUGUCUUUGGAUUCGACAGGCGGGCAGCGGAGGUUAAGGUUUGAGUUGUGUGUGAGUGACAGGUAGCUUUGAUGUAAGUGGUGUUAAUUCGGCUGAGGAAGAAAUUGACGUUUGGGUAGAUUAAGUGGUCUUAACUUAUGUCCGUGUAAGAUCGUUGAUGGUCUCAAUAGUACUGUGCAGUUUAUGCAUCUUUCUGAAGGUGUUUUCUUUUGAGUUUCUUGAUUGUAAGUAAAACAACUUCUGGAUGUAUAUUGUAUAUCACCAAAUAAAACACUUGUAAAUUAGACAGUUGUGCAUAAUAUGAAAAGCCUAGUUCAUGUCCUCA